rnacentral:rRNA from 1 species
UACGUAGGGUGCAAGCGUUAUCCGGAAUUAUUGGGCGUAAAGAGCUCGUAGGCGGUUUGUCGCGUCUGCUGUGAAAACCCGAGGCUCAACCUCGGGCCUGCAGUGGGUACGGGCAGACUAGAGUGCGGUAGGGGAGAUUGGAAUUCCCGGUGUAGCGGUGAAAUGCGCAGAUAUCAGGAGGAACACCGGUGGCGAAGGCGGAUCUCUGGGCCAUUACUGACGCUGAGGAGCGAAAGCGUGGGGAGCGAACAGG